rnacentral:rRNA from 1 species
GAUGAACGCUGGCGGCGUGCCUAAUACAUGCAAGUCGAGCGAAUGGAUUAAGAGCUUGCUCUUAUGAAGUUAGCGGCGGACGGGUGAGUAACACGUGGGUAACCUGCCCAUAAGACUGGGAUAACUCCGGGAAACCGGGGCUAAUACCGGAUAACAUUUGAACCGCAUGGAUCGAAAUUGAAAGGCGGCUUCGGCUGUCACUUAUGGAUGGACCCGCGUCGCAUUAGCUAGUUGGUGAGGUAACGGCUCACCAAGGCAACGAGGCGUAGCCGACCUGGGAGGGUGAUCGGCCACACUGGGACUGAGACACGGCCCAGACUCCUGCGGGAGGCAGCAGUAGGGAAUCUUCCGCAAUGGACGAAAGUCUGACGGAGCAACGCCGCGUGAGUGAUGAAGGCUUUCGGGUCGUAAAACUCUGUUGUUAGGGAAGAACAAGUGCUAGUUGAAUAAGCUGGCUCCUUGACGGUACCUAACCAGAAAGCCACGGCUAACUACGUGCCAGCCGCCGCAGUAA